GGCGGGGGCUUCGGCGGGGGUCAAGGCGGGGGUUACGGCAAGGGUCACGGCGGAGGAUACCAUACAGCAGGCUAUAAAGCUGGAAGCCACUCGCAAGGUGGCUACGGUGGCGAAAGCGCGUACCAGCAUUCCGGCGGCCAGCAGUUCCAGAAGACGUUCGGCACCAAGGAAACUUACGGAACGAAAGAAACUUUUGGCAGUGUGUCAGGCGCGUCGCACGCGCAGGGCUCAGGCCAUAAUUCCUACGGAGGUGGUUACAGUACAGGCGAAUACCAGCAGGGAGAGUCUGCCAGCGGUUACGGAGGCGGGAUCAGCGGUGGUCACGGGGGUGGAUGGUAGUCAAACAUUUUUUUGUGAUGAAAACCCUUCGCAGAGGCAGAAUAUUUGCCGAGGUCUAAACUACCGGUGCCUUCCAAGGAUGGAGUACAAGCCAUAACUAUAUAUACAUUUAUUUACGCUGGAUAGUGUCAAUUCAUUAGAAUACGAGUACGAUUUUUGCCUUGGGACGAUGCCUCAGCCCGUGCUACAGAGAAUCUUACGCUUGAAAAUCACCAUCUACAUAGUUUCUAGUAAAGUAAGUAGGAAAUGUAUAGAGCAGACGAUUUCAUUUUGGUACUUAACAGAGGUACUAAGAACUUACAGCUAGACAAUUUAUGAGCAGAAAGUUCGCUGUUACAAGAUUAUUUCUAAAAAAGCAUAAAAACUGCUGUCUCAACUGGCUAAACACGGCGCAUCGUAACGACAAACAGCUUAAUAAUGGGUGUGCAAUAUUGUAUGUACAGCGAUGGUGUUACCUGCUAUAGGUAAUUUCGUUCUGACAGAGGCUCUCUACUAGUAUGCUUUUACAAUAUGACAACUGCAUCUACGACUACUCUUAUUUUGUAUUAUAGAAACGCAGAAUGGCAUAAUGUUUCGUUUAUCUAAUCGAAAAAUCGUUAAUGUAUCAAAUGCUGUGAUGGCAUAAAUUAACAGACGUCCUAGCUUCUGCUAUACUAUCCAAAGGCCGCUCUUGGCGUUGCCUGGGUUUGAAAAGGUUUUGUCAACAAUCUCGCCAGUGUACUUAUGUUUGUGUAUUUGCUGAAGUUUGUUAUGCUUUAAUUAAAUAAAAUCAAAUCAAAAAACCUAA